UGCCAGCCGCUGCGGUAAUACGGAGGGGGUUAGCGUUGUUCGGAAUUACUGGGCGUAAAGCGUACGUAGGCGGAUUAAUAAGUUGAUGGUGAAAUCCCAAGGCUCAACCUUGGAACUGCCAUCAAAACUUUUUAGCUAGAGUGUGAUAGAGGAAAGUGGAAUUUCUAGUGUAGAGGUGAAAUUCGUAGAUAUUAGAAAGAACACCAAAUGCGAAGGCAACUUUCUGGGUCACUACUGACACUGAGGAGCGAAAGCAUGGGUAGCGAAGAGGAUUAGAUA
rnacentral:rRNA from 1 species